CCUACGGGCGGCUGCAGUGGGGAAUAUUGGACAAUGGGGGGAACCCUGAUCCAGCCAUGCCGCGUGUGUGAAGAAGGCCCUCGGGUUGUAAAGCACUUUCAGUGAGGAAGAACGCCUGGUGGUUAAUACCCAUCAGGAAAGACAUCACUCACAGAAGAAGCACCGGCUAACUCCGUGCCAGCAGCCGCGGUAAUACGGAGGGUGCGAGCGUUAAUCGGAAUUACUGGGCGUAAAGCGCGCGUAGGUGGCUUGAUAAGCCGGUUGUGAAAGCCCCGGGCUCAACCUGGGAACGGCAUCCGGAACUGUCAAUCUAGAGUGCAGUAGAGGAAGGUAGAAUUCCCGGUGUAGCGGUGAAAUGCGUAGAUAUCGGGAGGAAUACCAGUGGCGAAGGCGGCCUUCUGGACUGACACUGACACUGAGGUGCGAAAGCGUGGGUAGCAAACAGGAUUAGAUACCCUUGUAGUC
rnacentral:rRNA from 1 species